UACGUAGGCGGAUUCGCAGGCAUCUUGUGAAAUCCCUCCGCUCAACGGAGGAACUGCAGGGUGAACCGCGUGUCUUGAGACAGGUAGGGGCUGUCGGAACGCUAGGUGGAGUGGUGAAAUGCGUUGAUAUCUAGCGGAACGCCGAAGGAGAAAUCAGGCAGCUGGGCCUGUUCUGACGCUGAGGUACGAAAGCGUGGGGAGCGAACG
rnacentral:rRNA from 1 species